GCAAGUCGAGCGGGCGUAGCAAUACGUCAGCGGCAGACGGGUGAGUAACGCGUGGGAACGUACCUUUUGGUUCGGAACAACACAGGGAAACUUGUGCUAAUACCGGAUAAGCCCUUACGGGGAAAGAUUAUCGCCGAAAGAUCGGCCCGCGUCUGAUUAGCUAGUUGGUAGGGUAAUGGCCUACCAAGGCGACGAUCAGUAGCUGGUCUGAGAGGAUGAUCAGCCACAUUGGGACUGAGACACGGCCCAAACUCCUACGGGAGGCAGCAGUGGGGAAUAUUGGACAAUGGGCGCAAGCCUGAUCCAGCCAUGCCGCGUGAGUGAUGAAGGCCCUAGGGUUGUAAAGCUCUUUUGUGCGGGAAGAUAAUGACGGUACCGCAAGAAUAAGCCCCGGCUAACUUCGUGCCAGCAGCCGCGGUAAUACGAAGGGGGCUAGCGUUGCUCGGAAUCACUGGGCGUAAAGGGUGCGUAGGCGGGUCUUUAAGUCAGGGGUGAAAUCCUGGAGCUCAACUCCAGAACUGCCUUUGAUACUGAAGAUCUUGAGUUCGGGAGAGGUGAGUGGAACUGCGAGUGUAGAGGUGAAAUUCGUAGAUAUUCGCAAGAACACCAGUGGCGAAGGCGGCUCACUGGCCCGAUACUG
rnacentral:rRNA from 1 species